GUAGGUUGUUGGAUGAGGCUUAAAUAAGCCAAGUCUCAGCAUCUCACAGUACUGCAUAACAACCGCAAAACAACACACCUUUUGGCUACAUGCAGUAUUAAAAGGCCUCUGUAAAACUGCAGUUCUUGAUGCAACCCAAACUUUUACUAACAAGACUAAAACAUGCAACCUUUUUGCCAUCGUCGUCGUCAUACCAUAACAAACGAACCUGAGACGUCAAUUUCAUUCUGAAUCUCGAGUGCACCAGUCAAACCCAGUGAAUUGGCUCCAACAUGCGCCCCACGAGAUUCCCCACUAUUCAUAGAAAUUGUAAAAGCUCAAUUCCCUGGUUAGAAAGAUCGUAACAGGCAGAGAAGGCAACUGGCAAACGUGACUCCAAGAUGAACGUUCCUCUCGAAUUCGAACCAAUCGAGCUGAUUUACUUUGUCCUUGUGAUUCUUGCCCUGGGGUUCGCCUUGUUCUUCCUCCUCGUCAGUUUCGCAGUGUGUUGUUCUUAUGUGAAGAGUGGUUUCGGAGUGACCAACACGGAGGACACGAUUGCCACCAAUGACACGACACACAGCAGCCCCCAAAUUUUGUCGGUAAUUUCGAUGGACCCCACCUGCUUCGACGAGAUUUGUCAUGAAGGAGAGUACAAAACAUACUUGUCCACGCCAAACUACAACCGAUUCGCCAUCGACGAACCUCCACCUAAAUACGACCAGAUUUUCUCAUCGAAAAACAAUACUUUUUAUUAAAUGCUCAGUCCAACAAUCAUAAUUUAUGUAACUAAUUGAUAACACGAUUAGAAUUAAUAAUGUUUUAUACCUAAGUUAUGUACUUCUCGAUAACGGACUAUCUAGACUAGCUAUUUACUUACUAGUAAAACGUUUUGUUAGUCAUUCCAAUGCCAAGCCAAAGUAGCACGAAGUCACACGCUGUUAAUGUGUAACGUGUAUUGUUAAUUGUAUAUCAAAGUAAUAAAUUAGUUGUUUAACCAGCCAAGUCACAAUCCGUCCACCCCGUAUCGCCGGAGUAAAUCAGAUUUGGACAAAAAAUCAAGGCCCUCUCAAUUUUAUAUGUGCAAAAUAAUAUCAAUCAUCAUCGGUUGGUCCAUUGUCACAAUUCCCAAUAGUAAUAUUCAUUAAAUGAAAAACGUCUCCUCUCUUGGAAAGUGAUCAGAAAAUAGUAAUCACAGAUGAGCUCCUUUCAAGAAUGCCCCAAGAACGUCACGCUGCUGGAAACCAACAAUAGAAGCGUGAGGACACGAUUACUUACAAAUUUUAAACUGAAAGCAGACGUUGGUGGCUCGCCAUGCAGUGGUUGGUUGCAGAUCCCUCUUGAUCUAGUCAUUAGUAUAUUAGUAUUAUGUACUUACUUCCCGUCCUCAUAAGUCCGUUACAUAGGUGCAAGUGCACAGAAUUAUAUGAAAUGGAUACAAUCUGCUAUGAAGAUCUGACCCAUUUUUAGCAAGACUCUGCAGCAAUCGUUUAAUUGUACGGAGAUAUAUGUACAUGUUUUAAACGCAGUCUAAUCCACUGAAUGUGACUAGCACCUGAAUAAAGGUAAAAUUGCAUCCACGACAAUUCACGUAUGUAUAUGUAUGCCUUUAACGCGCAAUACGCAUAUGCACAUAUAUUGCAUUAUGCCAAGAGGAGAAGGAAGCAUGGCACUAUUAAUUUGUGUAAUUUUUGGCUGGCUGCACGUUAUUGCUUAAUAACACAUUCAACAUUCUUAACCCCUUUGUACGAAUUACUUCUGAAUUAUUAUUGUUAUCAGACCCAUUAUCAUGAUCACAGCUCUGUGAUUUGAGCUGGUCAGCAGCACACACUUACAAAUGAAUUUCGUAAAAUAUAGGAUUGGGCUAAGGUUUAGUUGUGUAAGAAAAAGAAGAAAAAAAAGUGACCAAAUAUUAUGCAAAAAAUCAGUCAAGUGUGGUCUGCCUGCCUUCCACAUGUGCGUGUACACAUUUACAAAUGCACGAACUAUGAAUGACAUGUGCAUAAGCACUCAAAUCAAGGACCAUAGUAGUUAAUAAUUACCACUGGUCGUCGUACACCAAUUAGCUUUUGUGAGAAUCUGGAAGCAUCUCUCUGAGCACAAUGAAAUCAUUUAAAUUUCAGAUCGUCAUUUAAAAAGUGAAAGGACAUUUUUCCUCGGCCUUUUGUUUCAGGAUGAAUGUAGAAAGAAAUUUGCUACAGUUCCACCUCGACCAUUGUCUCACAACAACCCAUUGUAUAAAGUUCUGCCUGCUAAUGAAUAAGCAAAUGUGAAUGUGACAGUGCAGUGGCUCAAGUCCACACAUGAUCGAGAUGGAAAUCCAAUGCAUCUAUCAUCAAACUGCAACAAAAUGCCCUGAUUCUAAAUUAUUUGCUCGAUUGCAUCUUCCACAUUGAUUUCUACAAACUUUUUGUUAAAAAGUCGCGUCUUUAGCUUCAUUCAUAAGAAUUAAGUAUUUGGUCUUCCAAACGAAAUUAAACAAAAAAGACGCACUAAAAUCGAGGCAGCGUGAGAACGAAUUGAUUUCGGAGUGAAAAUGAAAGUUUCUUCACUGGUGAUACUAAUGAGUUGAACCUUUAAUUCCUUACAUAACAACACCCCACGCAUUCAGUUUCACAGAGUAGAACCACACAGAAGAACACUAACAAUUCUUCUACCAAAUUUAAUGAAAUUAGAAGCUGUCUAUUUUGCAGAAAGAAAACGAACAUUAUGCUGUGGAUUUAAUUGUGUGUGGUUUAACGCAUGAGUGGGUGGAAUGCCUUGCAGCUUUUUAUGAUUCCUACAAAUAAUGUUUUAAUCGAUUCGCUACGUUGUAGAAGAGGAAAAAAACAAACUCUGAGACGAAUUGAACUUGGUAAUGACAUUCAUCAUUUUCACUUGAGCAAGCAUUUCCUAAACUCCGCUAGCUUGUAGCUGUGCUCAAGACCUUUCUUAAUAGUUAAAAAUCAUGCAAUUUCUGACAAAAAUUGUGCACCUAAGUUGUACAAACUAUAAUAAUUCUGCAUUUAGUAACUCACUCAUUUUUAAAUUUUUGCUAAAAUAUACUCCCUCUGCACACCUAAAUCCGUUGAAUGAACUGUACGUAGAUACAUAAUCGCUGGAACCAGACUUGGAGUGGAACUUUAACACUUGUUGGGCUUAUUUCAAGCUUUGAACGAGGUUAGGGAAAAGUACCAAAAUGGACCAAACCACAAUACCAACUUGCCAAGACCAAGACCAGGGUCAGGUUUAAAAAUUUUAUAUUAAUAUAACACAACUAUACGAAUAGAAAACCAUAUCCACAGAUUCUGCGUAGAAAUUCGCAAAUUGUAAUAAAAACGGUAGUGAAUUAUUGAAUUAUACUCAA